rnacentral:rRNA from 1 species
AAAGCGUGCGCAGGCGGUUUUGUAAGUCUGAUGUGAAAUCCCCGGCCUCAACCUGGGAAUUGCAUUGGAGACUGCAAGGCUAGAAUCUGGCAGAGGGGGGUAGAAUUCCACGUGUAGCAGUGAAAUGCGUAGAUAUGUGGAGGAACACCGAUGGCGAAGGCAGCCCCCUGGGUCAAGAUUGACGCUCAUGCACGAAAGCGUGGGGAGCAAACAGGAUUAGAUACCCCUGU